rnacentral:lncRNA from 1 species
UUAAUUCCAUUAAUUUUGCUCCAAAUUUCCUCUCCAUAAAUACCCAAAGUUGUCACUAGCUUUUGCACCCAACACUCAAAACAAAUACAUUUGUAGUACUAUAUCAUCCUCUACUAUUUCUAUCGAUCUUUACUCAAUUUUUGUAACAAUGGAAAUGUUUGGCAAAAUUGCAUGCUUUGUGCUUUUGUGCAUGGUGGUGGUUGCACCCCAUGCAGAGGCACUGAGCUGCGGCGAGGUUACAUCUGGCUUGGCUCCUUGCCUCCCUUAUCUUCAAGGAAGCGGUCCUAUCGGAGGGUGUUGUGGUGGUGUUAAGGGUCUGUUGGGUGCAGCCAAGACCCCAGAAGACCGGAAGACAGCAUGCACUUGCCUUAAAACAUUACACCUUAAAUUCAAAUUUUAAAAGAAAUUAAUAAAUCCAUUGUUGUAUCCCUCUGUUCUUAUCUAUAUGUCACCAUUGUUUUCUUAUAUAGGCAAAACAUAUACAGUUAGAAAUUUUAACACAUUUUUUAUCAAAAAAUUAUAAAAUAUUCAAAGAGAAAAAGGUAUUCUGAGUACUGGAACAAUUGUCUCUAUGGGAUUGGCUUUUCACAAGGCCCUAAAUCGUGUAUAGCGUUGUUCAAUAAAAAUUAGUCACGUAACAAACUAAACUUGACUUUAUAGGCACCUCCCUAAUUAUUAUGUACCCUCAUUUGAUUUAACUCUUAACUCCCAACUAAUUCUCUUAUUCUUAAUUCCAUUAAUUUUGCACCAAAUUUCCUCUCCAUAAAUACCGAAAGUUAUCACUAGCUUUUGCACACAACACUCAAAACAAAUACAUUUGUAGUACUAUAUCAUCCUCUACUAUUUCUAUCGAUCUUUACUCAAUUUUUGUAACAAUGGAAAUGUUUGGCAAAAUUGCAUGCUUUGUGCUUUUGUGCAUGGUGGUGGUUGCACCCCAUGCAGAGGCACUGAGCUGCGGCGAGGUUACAUCUGGCUUGGCUCCUUGCCUCCCUUAUCUUCAAGGAAGCGGUCCUAUCGGAGGGUGUUGUGGUGGUGUUAAGGGUCUUUUGGGUGCAGCCAAGACCCCAGAAGACCGGAAAACAGCAUGCACUUGCCUUAAGUCGGCAGCUAAUUCUAUUAAGGGAAUUGAUACGGGAAAAGCCGCUGGUCUCCCUGGAGUUUGUGGAGUCAACAUUCCUUACAAGAUCAGCCCUUCCACUGAUUGCUCCAAGUACGUGAUUCUCCUUAUAUAUAUUAAUUGACAGUAUAAUAUUUCUUUAUGUUUCACGAUAUAGAACAUAAUUUUAAUUUACAUAUGCCUAUUGAUAAAAUUAUAUGUUACAAAACAAUAUAUAUGUGUGUACGCGCAUACUAUAUAUUAAUGUUGAUUUAAUAUUGCA